AGGUAAAGAAUCCGGGUCGUCAAGUGGACAAGUCGGGGGUGAUACACGCUUAAAGGGUGCGCUUUGAAGGUACAGCUCGUGGUCAUGGAUGUUGAUCAAGCAAUGGGAUUCAAGAACCGAACACAUAUUUUGAAUGCUUCCGCGAUUAUCUACUCAAGCUAGACGUAGAUGUUGUUGUUGAAACUUUGUUAAAUGUCAUGUUUUUAAACAAGUUAGUACGUUAUGUUACUUAUUAACUUAACUUUGUAAAAACCAAAAAUAUGUUUUGUUGUA